rnacentral:lncRNA from 1 species
GUUUGUGCUAAUCUUCAUUUCAAAGAUAAUUGCUUUUUUUAUUUUAGGCUGAUACAAUGAUAUGCCUUAUACAGGUUCGCUUGUUGCAAAUUCUUUCAUUAGAUGCAUAUUUUGAUGCUUGGCUUAUUUCCUUUUUCUUUCCCUCCAUAGGAAUCCUUGAUUAUUUGUUGAUAAAGAUGUAGCACAAUAACCUCAUCCACCAA